UACAGAGGGUGCGAGCGUUGUUCGGAAUUAUUGGGCGUAAAGGGCGCGUAGGCGGUGUGGUAAGUCACCUGUGAAAUCUCCUGGCUCAACUGGGAGCUUGCAGGCGAAACUGCCGUGCUGGAGUGUGGGAGAGGUGCGUGGAGUUCCUGGUGUAGCGGUGAAAUGCGUAGAUAUCAGGAGGAACACCUGUGGCGAAAGCGGCGCACUGGACCACAACUGACGCUGAGGCGCGAAAGCUAGGGGAGCAAACAGG
rnacentral:rRNA from 1 species